UACGUAGGGUGCGAGCGUUAAUCGGAAUUACUGGGCGUAAAGUGUGCGCAGGCGGCUUCGCAAGUCGAGUGUGAAAUCCCCGAGCUUAACUUGGGAAUUGCGCUCGAAACUACGGAGCUGGAGUGUGGCAGAGGAAGGUGGAAUUCCACGUGUAGCGGUGAAAUGCGCAGAUAUCAGGAGGAACACCGGUGGCGAAGGCGGGUCUCUGGGCAGUAACUGACGCUGAGGAGCGAAAGCGUGGGGAGCGAACAGG
rnacentral:rRNA from 1 species